GCAUCGAUGAAGAACGCAGCGAAAUGCGAUACGUAAUGUGAAUUGCAGAAUUCCGUGAAUCAUCGAAUCUUUGAACGCACAUUGCACCCGGUGGUAUUCCGCCGGGUAUGCCUGUCUGAGCGUCAUUUCUACCCUCAAGCAACUUGCUUGGUGUUGGGGGAUUACUCCCUCAGCGGAGUAACCACUGAAAAUGAAUGGCGGCAGCACACUUGGCCCCUGUACUGUACAAUUCUUACAGAGAGUCAUUUGGGCGAACCAGCCUCACUACCAAAACUUUUUCCAGUAAAGUUGACCUCAAAUCAGGUAGGAAUACCCGCUGAACUUAAGCAUAUCAAUAAGCGGAGGAA
rnacentral:rRNA from 1 species